GGCAGCUGCAAUUGUAAUGAAUGAAGAAGUUCGUAGAGGCUGUAGGAAGCUGAACCAACGGAAGGCGGAUUUAGAAGAAAAUGCAACAUUUGAGCAGAAGUUCUUCAUUAUAAGACGAUCUCGGAUGAACUUUUGCCUACGGAUGAAUUAGGAUUUCUCGAAAGUGGAGAUGUAUCGAUGGUUUGGACUGAUUUCCAAUAUUUGGUAACUAUUUUCUAAUUUGUUAUACUACAAACGGAUACGGAAGUGAUUGGUUCACUGCAAGGACUGGAAAGUGUGUUCCAUACGGCUGUUUUUGUGUUACAUAAUCGAUUCUUAUUCCUUAUGAUACGACGGAAAUAUUGCGUACGAUCAAUUAUUGGCUGUGUUAGAACAACUAAAACGAAACAUCAAUCAUGAGCAAGCUUUAAUAAGGGAAUCAGCGAUUACAUUUCUGAUUCUACGUUAUCAUAGAAAACACAACCUCUUGAUGAAGCUGAGCUAUAAGGUUCAGUUUAACUUAUAUUGUCAAUGUUUAUCCUUGGUGCAUGAAGCGGCAAAGCAGAUACUGAUACAAAUAUUACUACCUUAUCUAUCCAGUGCGUGUAUGAUCUAGCAAUGUUGAAAUGGACAGCGUACGAUUGCGAUAUAUGGUGAAAAAAGUGAUUGAUCAAUGGUACACUAUUAAACAGUUAACAAUAGUUUUCCCGGCAUACAUUGUAUUGCUACGUUAAAAGCUCUUAUGGAGAUGAUAGACGCUGUUGCGUAAAAGUUAGCUCACACUUGACGCUGCGGAUGUUAUUAAGAAUUUUCAUGGAUGUUGUGAACCACACGGUAUGUCGGAUAAUGAAUGGAAGAUCAUAAUAUUAAAACUAGUUUUUUAUAACUAGAAAUGAUAAGGUAAAUUCAAAGUACAGAAUACACUUGUUAUUCAAUUGAUUAUUAUUAUUAUUAUUUAUUAACGAAACUUCACACCAGAGGAAUGGUUGGUAUUCUAUUCAUGUUGUUAAUAUUGAGGAGGUUUUUCAUCAAACUUUGGAACGAUUAGAUGAACGCGACUUUGGUUUUACUAUGAUCUGAUUUUCGUUUGAGUUUCACAGAGGCUUUAUAUAAUCGUGUUCAUAGGUAUCACAAAGUAUAAUAAACGGGUUGAUAAGACAAAUUUAAAUAAGAAAGGCGUCAUGGUUUUUUGGUCAUUGAUUAUCAUUCAUUACAUGUAAAUACAUCAAAAAGGUAAUCCAUAAAUUUCAAUAAAUGUACAAAGUAAUAAAUUUUGAAUAAAAGUUCAAACCUAGAUUUGUAUACGCAAACAUUUGCAAAUAAUUACGUAAAGAACUGGAUUGCCUCAAGCAGGUUUCAAUAUGUUGAGUUUUUAAAUAUCCAAAUCCAACUAUCUGUAAAACAAAAGGUCGCACUGUAAUGUAAAUUUAACAUAGCGAGUUUAGCGUCCUAGCGACACCGUUAAAUACAAACUUAUAAAUUGAUUACGUGAUUUGGCAUUAAACAAUUGGAUGAAUUACAAAAUAAAUCUACCUUGAAAUCUACUUAGAACAUGGAUGCAGUUUGAAUUUUACUGAAACUUGGUAUUUGUGAAUAAAAAAAAAAAUAUCUUCGUUAGUAAUAAUUAAAACUAAAUUAUUAUACUUUAGUAGAGAAGUUACAAAAUGUUUGAGGAACAUCUUUUUGAUUUCUAGUAUGAAUUGAAGAAAACUUCAUGCAUGUUUUAGUCUUAAGCGAAAGUAGUCUAGUUGAAGCAUUCAUGACAAACAGAGAUGCAGGAAUUAUUCCAGCCUGCUCUAGACAAAAUAAAGAAAUAGGAUUUCUAGUCUGCAACUAAAUGUACAGAUAAUCUGGAUGACCAAGAAAUGUGUAACCGAGUAAUUGAACAAAUAUUUGUUUACCCCCGAGGGAUCGCUUUGAUGUAUUUUGUACAAAACGUUGAAAAAUCUCGUUUUUUUGUACUCAGCAUUAGCGUGGUGCUGACGGUGGUGGCCAACCGCGUGAGUUACGGAUGGUUGAGUUAUUACACUGCUAUUUAGCCUGUUCAUGCUUGAACGAAGAACAACGUGCACGUAUUUAUUGAUACAAUCUAUUGUACUAUUACAAUUUACAUGCGUGAAAUUUGUGAGUGAAAAACAAUAUGCAAUGUUUGAUUGAAAAAUAUUAUUAAAAAUUCCUGCGUUCAUGUGGUCACAUGUAAACUAGAUGAGGAUUUUCCUAGUGUAGUUUCGGAAAACAUUUUGAUGGAAGUUAUAAGCUGAAUUGGUGCUUAUGUUGAACUAUUAUUUAGCAUAACAUAAGCAGAACGUAGUUUCAAAAUAACCACAAAUCUGUUGUAAGUUUGCAUGCACUAAAGUACAUGCAAAGGAAACAGAAGGUUUUAGUCAUAAUAAAAAGACCAAAUGAAGGAGAUGCGUCUCAGUCCAUUUGGCAGUCCAGUCUAUCAUGAGAUGAAGGAAGUGUGACUUCAGUCCAUCUAUGAUAAAGGGAUGAGCAAAGGAAACGUAAGGUUUCAGUCUGCAAUAAAAAGACCAGAUGAAGGAGAUACGUCUCAGUCCAUUUGGCAAUCCAGUCUAUCAUGAGAUGAAGGAAGUGUGACUUCAGUCCAUCUAUGAUAAAGGGAUGAGCAAAGGAAACGUAAGGUUUCAGUCUGCAAUAAAAAGACCAAAUGAAGGAGAUGCGUCUCAGUCCAUUUGGCAAUCCAGUCUAUCAUGAGAUGAAGGAAGUGUGACUUCAGUCCAUCUAUGAUAAAGGGAUGAGCAAAGGAAACGUAAGGUUUCAGUCUGCAAUAAAAAGACCAAAUGAAGGAGAUGCGUCUCAGUCCAUUUGGCAAUCCAGUCUAUCAUGAGAUGAAGGAAGUGUGACUUCAGUCCAUCUAUGAUAAAGGGAUGAGCAAAGGAAACGUAAGGUUUCAGUCUGCAAUAAAAAGACCAGAUGAAGGAGAUACGUCUCAGUCCAUUUGGCAAUCCAGUCUAUCAUGAGAUGAAGGAAGUGUGACUUUAGUCCAUCUAUGAUAAAGGGAUGAGCAAAGGAAACGUAAGGUUUCAGUCUGCAAUAAAAAGACCAGAUGAAGGAGAUACGUCUCAGUCCAUUUGGCAGUUCAGCCUAUCAUGAGAUGAAGGAAGUGUAACUUCAGUCCAUCUAUGAUAAAGGGACACAUACUUCAAAAUAAUAAAAAUAAUGAUAAUGCGUAUUUAUUAAUACUUUAACUAUUCUAUAUUUCUGCAGCCAUUGCUCAGGAUUAUAUGAAUAAUUUGAAUAGAAGAUCAAGAAAUCUGAAAACGACAUAAUACCAAUAUUUGAGGUACAAUCCAAAGGAUAGCCUUGAUGACCGGAAGAUUGACUCCACAGGAACACAUCCGUUACUUCGAAGAAUCAGUGCAGAGGAGAACUGCUGAUGAUCUGAAAUACCGAUAAUGAACUAUAAAAAUAUAUUAUUUGUUGAUAUAGGAACAAUAGCAAAACGUAGAUCAGCUGACAAACAUUAUGUGAAUGUACAGAUGUAUUAACACCACAACUAUACCGGAGGACAGGUUAAACUAAAACAUGUAUUAUCUAAAUUAAUUUAAAUCUAUUUAAAGGUAAGGAGAGAUGUAGUAGGCUACGAAUAACAUGAAAAGCAAAGUACAUAAAUAAACGUCACUUGUUAUCUAAACCGAA